rnacentral:rRNA from 1 species
UCUACGGGUGGCAGCAGUGGGGAAUAUUGCACAAUGGGGGAAACCCUGAUGCAGCGACGCCGCGUGAGUGAAGAAGUAUUUAGGUAUGUAAAGCUCUAUCAGCAGGGAAGAAAAUGACGGUACCUGAUUCAGAAGCCCCGGCUAACUACGUGCCAGCAGCCGCGGUAAUACGUAGGGGGCAAGCGUUAUCCGGAUUUACUGGGUGUAAAGUGCGUGCAGCCGGAGAGACAAGUCAGAUGUGAAAUCCACGGGCUCAACCCGUGAACUGCAUUUGAAACUGUUUCCAUUGAGUGUCGCAGAGGUAAUCGGAAUUCCUAGUGUAGCGGUGAAAUGCGUAGAUAUUAGGAAGAACACCAGUGGCGAAGGCGGAUUACUGGACGAUAACUGACGGUGAGGCGCGAAAGCGUGGGGAGCAAACAGGAUUAGAUACCCCAGUAGUC